GCCCUGCUCCUGCCUUGAUGAUAAUGGACUGAACCUCUGAACCUGGUUUAUCAUGGCACCCACUAUACACACAGCUGAGUUAUACUUUCCUAUGCCUGAGCCUCACCAUCACCUACACAAUAAAAGCCCAACUUACCUUGAUUCAAGCAGAACCUUACAGUUAAUGAAGGAAAAUGGGAACAAUAUACCAACCUAAACAAAUCAGUAACCAAUCAACAAGCAAGCCCAAGAUGUACAUCAUUUCUUUUGUUUUAUGACUGUACAAAAAUGACACAGGCUGCCUGCCCCAGGUCUGGUAAAACUGAAUUAUCAGGCAACCCGAAUAGACCCAGAUAGAUGCCACCCCUCAGGAGCAGCCUAGCACAAGGAGUCGUCGAAGCUCAGUGGUGGAGACAUGGCUCCAAAGGUCACAGUCCAUCACGGAGGAAAGCCAGUGCAGAAACUCAAGGCAAGAGCCUAAAGGCAGAAACUGAAGCAGACCAUGGGUGAACACUGCUUUCUGGCUUGCUCAGCUAUUCUUCUAAUAGAGUUCCUGCCAGCAUGCUCAGGGAUAGGAUGCCUCACAGUAGGCUGAGCCUCUUAACAAUCAAGUUAACAAUCAAGAAACAGUUAACAAUCAAGAAAACAUGGCAAACAUGCCCACAAGCUAGUCUGAUGGAGGCAAUUAAUUCCUCAGUUGAGGCUCUUUCUCCCAGUUUGUGGCAGGUUGACAAAAACCAAGACACUACACUUCACCUUUCAUUUAUAAGCAACAGACAGGAAGACAGAUGCAAACUGCCAACUGUUAGGACAUUUAGAAACAUCAAGUAAUACUUGAUGGAAUUUUAGGAAUAUAAGCAUUUUGUUCCACUUGCAGCCAUAAAAUCUUAUUUUAAUUGAAAACUGAAAGAAAAUCUACCAAAUUUGGAAGCCCUUGAAGGGCAAAUGCAUGAAACAGCUACACGAUCCUUCGCUCACAGCCUCCUGACCUUUAAAGUGUUUUUCAUGACAGAAACUUAAAGUUUCUCAAAAAUAAAUGCAACACAUCCUCAUAAAAAUAAUUUAUUAGGAUUAGUACCAUGAUUAAGUACUUCUGGAAGCAUGAAUACAAAGGAUCUGCUCAGUUACUUAGUUUGUAUUAAAAUAACUAAGUUUGAAAAUGAAAAC